GGCCUUCGGGUUGUAAACUGCUUUUGUACGGAACGAAAGGCUCUGCCCUAAUACGGCGGAGAUAUGACGGUACCGUAAGAAUAAGCACCGGCUAACUACGUGCCAGCAGCCGCGGUAAUACGUAGGGUGCAAGCGUUAAUCGGAAUUACUGGGCGUAAAGCGUGCGCAGGCGGUUAUAUAAGUCAGAUGUGAAAUCCCCGGGCUCAACCUGGGAACUGCAUUUGAGACUGUAUAGCUGGAGUACGGCAGAGGGGGAUGGAAUUCCGCGUGUAGCAGUGAAAUGCGUAGAUAUGCGGAGGAACACCGAUGGCGAAGGCAAUCCCCUGGGCCUGUACUGACGCUCAUGCACGAAAGCGUGGGGAGCAAACAGGAUUAGAUACCCUGGUAGUCCACGCCCU
rnacentral:rRNA from 1 species